AUGAAGAGCCUUCUUUUGCCAGUUUUCCUGAUUUUCUGGGCAGGAAUCUCUGCCACACAAACUCCACUCAAGCCAAGGGAUAUUCAGCUUACUUGGAUUUAUAGAGAAAAAAAGACCAUACCAGAGGGAGGGAGGAGAAAGAGCAGCAGUCAGAAGGCUUAUUGUUGCACCUUUUGGGAUGAAAAAGUCUUAUAGCUCUGCAUGCUUGGUAGAACACACGGCUAGCACGCUUGCUGUCCUGCCACUGAAAUGGACUCCUCAGUGGAAGCAGGCAGUGAUCUGUAAGAGCUAAUGCUUAAGCAAAUAGAAUGCAAACAAUCAAGAUGGAACAUGAUACUGACAGUGCGUCACCAAGCACAACCGAUGAAUGAGCAAAUGAAAUACUAAAGCACAUUAAAGAAGACGACAUGAAAGGAAAUGUCUGGUUCUUGAUAUUUUUACAUGUAAUUGUAUCUAUACAGAAGAACAAGAAGAAAAAAGGGGAGUUAGAGUCAAACUGCCAUUUCUCCCAUUUUGCUUACCUGAAAUGUCCUUUGUUAGGAAGAAUAAAGAAACAACUUAUUUGCUUUUACAUGUUAUUUUGAAUCAGU
rnacentral:lncRNA from 11 species